rnacentral:rRNA from 1 species
GAUGAACGCUGGCGGCGUGCCUAAUACAUGCGAGUCGAGCGAACGGACGAGAAGCUUGCUUUUCUGAUGUUAGCGGCGGACGGGUGAGUAACACGUGGAUAACCUACCUAUAAGACUGGGAUAACUUCGGGAAACCGGUGCUAAUACCGGAUAAUAUUUUGAACCGCAUGGUUCAAAAGUGAAAGACGGUCUUGCUGUCACUUAUAGAUGGAUCCGCGCUGCAUUAGCUAGUUGGUAAGGUAACGGCUUACCAAGGCAACGAUGCAUAGCCGACCUGAGAGGGUGAUCGGCCACACUUGAACUGAGACACGGUCCAGACUCCUACGGGAGGCAGCAGUAGGGAAUCUUCCGCAAUGGGCGAAAGCCUGACGGAGCAACGCCGCGUGAGUGAUGAAGGUCUUCGGAUCGUAAAACUCUGUUAUUAGGGAAGAACAUAUGUGUAAGUAACUGUGCACAUCUUGACGGUACCUAAUCAGAAAGCCACGGCUAACUACGUG